UUUCAGAUGAUUAGAAAAUCUUGAUCCUCUUCAGCCCUUGUACUUCGGAGAAGCAGAUGUGGAGGUGGUCUCCAGCUACAGGUACCUGGGUGUGCAUAUAUUCAGUGACCUCACCU